AGAGCGAACGCUGGCGGCAGGCCUAACACAUGCAAGUCGAGCGCCCGUAGCAAUACGGGAGCGGCAGACGGGAUAGUAACACGUGGGAACGCGCCCUUCGGUUCGGAAUAACUCAGGGAAACUUGAGCUAAUACCGAAUACGCCCUUACGGGGAAAGAUUUAUUGCCGAAGGAACGGCCCGCGUCCGAUUAGCUAGUUGGUGAGGUAAUGGCUCACCAAGGCUACGAUCGGUAGCUGGUCUGAGAGGAUGACCAGCAUCACUGGGACUGAGACACGGCCCAGACUCCUACGGGAGGCAGCAGUGGGGAAUAUUGGACAAUGGGCGCAAGCCUGAUCCAGCCAUGCCGCGUGGAUGAUGAAGGCCUUAGGGUUGUAAAGUCCUUUUAACGGGGAGAUAAUGACGGUACCCGUAGAAUAAGCCCCGGCUAACUUCGUGCCAGUAGCCGC
rnacentral:rRNA from 1 species